rnacentral:lncRNA from 1 species
CGGGGGUAAAAAUAAAAUGUUUCCAUCCCCAGCCAAUCCCUGGAAAGGCAGAAGGGCACUCCUCCAAUGGGAGCCGGGGAGCCGUCGGUAGCGGCGUAGGCCCGUGCCCCUGCUCGCGCUGCAGCCCGUGGAAGGGUUCCGUCCAGCGUAUCCUUCAGAUCUUGCUGUAGGCCUCUGGUGUCUGUGCGCGCGCGGCAGGGGCGGCGGCGGCGACGGCCGGAGGUGUACGGUCAGCGGGUUGCGGAGGAUCGUGCGGGUCGCAAAGGGAAGCCGAGUGCUCCUGCGGCUCCCAGACUGCAACCAGUUGCUUCCUCUACUGAAGUCUUGAAACCCCUGAAAGUCAUCCCUGAGGUUUGAAGUUAACUUCUUCUACACCCUGUUAAUGUUGAUAUUUUGACCUCCUUCCAUGAAUCACAAAUGUUCUUAAUGGCAUCUAGAAUGGUGAGUCCUUUCCAGAAGAUUUUCAAUUUACUUUUCCCGGAUCCAUCAGAGGAAUCACUGUCUAUGGCGGCUAUAGCCUUAUGAAAUGUAUUUCCUAAAUAAUAAGACCUGAAAGUCAAUAUUACUCCUUGAUCCAUGGGCUGCAGAAUGGAUGUUGUGUUAGCAGGCAUGAAAACAGCAUGAAUCUCCUUGUACAUCUCCAUCAGAGCUCUUAGGUGAUCAGGUGCAUUUUCAAUGAGCAGUAAUAUUUUGAAUGGAAUCUUUUUAUCUGAGUAGCAGGUCUCAACAGUGGGCUUAAAAUAUUUAAUAAACUAUGCUAUAAACAGAUUUGCUAUCAUCCAGGCUUUGUUGCUCCAUUUAUAGAGCACAGAGUAUAUUUAGCAUAGUUCUUAAGGAUCCUAGGAUUUUCAGAAUGGUAAAAUGAACACUGGCUUCAAGUUAAAAGUCACCAGCUGCCUGAGCCUCUAACAAGAGAGUCAUCCUGUCUUUUGAAGCUUUGAAGCCAGGCAUUGACUUCUUUCUAGCUAUAAAAGUCCUAGAUGGCAUCUUCUCCCCAUAUAACGCUGUUUCAGCUACACUGAAAAUCUGUUGGCCAGGUGCGGUGGCUCACGCCUGUAAUCUCAGCACUUUGGGAGGCUGAGGCGGACGGAUCACCUGAGGUUGGGAGUUCGAGACCAGGCUGACCAACAUGGAGAAACCCUGCCUCUACUAAAAAUACAAAAUUGGCUGGGUGUAGUGGCGCAUGCCUAUAACCCCAGCUACUCGGGAGGCUGAGGCAGGAGAAUCACUUGAACCUGGGAGGCAGAGGUUGCAGUGAGCUGAGAUGAUGCCAUUGCAUUCCAGCCUGGGCAAUAAGAGUGAAACUCCGUCUCAAAAAAAAAAAAGAAAAGAAAAAAAAGAAAAUCUGUUGGCCGGGUGCGGUGGCUCACGCCUGUAAUCCCAGCACUUUGGGAGGCAGAGGCGGGCGGGUCACAAGGUCAGGAGUUUGAGACCAGUCUGGCCAACAUAGUGAAACCCCGUCUCUACUAAAAGUACAAAAAUUGGCUGGGCGUGG